rnacentral:rRNA from 1 species
CAGCCGCCGCGGUAAUACGUAGGUCCCGAGCGUUGUCCGGAUUUAUUGGGCGUAAAGCGAGCGCAGGCGGUUAGAUAAGUCUGAAGUUAAAGGCUGCGGCUUAACCAUAGUACGCUUUGGAAACUGUUUAACUUGAGUGCAAGAGGGGAGAGUGGAAUUCCAUGUGUAGCGGUGAAAUGCGUAGAUAUAUGGAGGAACACCGGUGGCGAAAGCGGCUCUCUGGCUUGUAACUGACGCUGAGGCUCGAAAGCGUGGGGAGCAAACAGGAUUAGAUACCCGUGUAGUCCCUGUCUCUUAUACA